GAGGGUAUAGCUCAGCCGUAGAGUGCAUGCCUAGCCUGCAUGAGGUCGUGGGUUUGAUCCCCAGUACCUCCA
rfam:Camelus ferus unplaced genomic scaffold scaffold56579, whole genome shotgun sequence.